GAUGAACGCUAGCUACAGGCUUAACACAUGCAAGUCGAGGGGCAGCAUGGUCUUAGCUUGCUAAGGCCGAUGGCGACCGGCGCACGGGUGAGUAACACGUAUCCAACCUGCCGUCUACUCUUGGACAGCCUCCUGAAAGGAAGAUUAAUACAAGAUGGCAUCAUGAGUCCACAUGUUCACAUGAUUAAAGAACUUCGGUUAUCGAUGGGGAUGCGUUCCAUUAGCUUGUUGGCGGGGUAACGGCCCACCAAGGCUUCGAUGGAUAGGGGUUCUGAGAGGAAGGUCCCCCACAUUGGAACUGAGACACGGUCCAA
rnacentral:rRNA from 1 species